UUGCUACCAAUGGUGAGAGUGGCGCACGGGUGCGUAACGCGUGAGCAACCUACCUCUAUCAGGGGGAUAGCCUCUCGAAAGAGAGAUUAACACCGCAUAACAUCAACAGUUCGCAUGUUCGGUUGAUUAAAUAUUUAUAGGAUAGAGAUGGGCUCGCGUGACAUUAGCUAGUUGGUAGGGUAACGGCUUACCAAGGCGACGAUGUCUAGGGGCUCUGAGAGGAGAAUCCCCCACACUGGUACUGAGACACGGACCAGACUCCUACGGGAGGCAGCAGUAAGGAAUAUUGGUCAAUGGGCGGAAGCCUGAACCAGCCAUGCCGCGUGCAGGAUGACUGCCCUAUGGGUUGUAAACUGCUUUUGUCCAGGAAUAACCCCAGAUACGUGUAUCUGGCUGAAUGUACUGGAAGAAUAAGGAUCGGCUAACUCCGUGCCAGCAGCCGCGGUAAUACGGAGGAUCCGAGCGUUAUCCGGAUUUAUUGGGUUUAAAGGGUGCGUAGGCGGCCUAUUAAGUCAGGGGUGAAAUACGGUGGCUCAACCAUCGCAGUGCCUUUGAUACUGACGGGCUUGAAUCCAUUUGAAGUGGGCGGAAUAAGACAAGUAGCGGUGAAAUGCAUAGAUAUGUCUUAGAACUCCGAUUGCGAAGGCAGCUCACUAAGCUGGUAUUGACGCUGAUGCACGAAAGCGUGGGGAUCGAACAGG
rnacentral:rRNA from 1 species